CAAAGAUUAAGCCAUGCAAUUCUAAGAAUACAAGAGAUUAUUCUUGAAAUCUGAAGACGGCUCCUUAAACUAGUUCUAAGCUACGCAGAUGUGACGGCACUUGUGCCAUUAAAUGAAUAACCAGGGAAAAGCUCUGGCUAAUGCAUGCAACAAGGCGGGCGCGCAAGCGUCCGCUGCAGAUAUUGGCCCCAAAAUCAAUGCGCCUCGGCGCUUUCUGGUUGAAUCACAAUAUCUUGAAGACUGCACGACCUUGCGUCGGCGGCCUCCUGCUCGCGGUACUACUCUAUCAUGUUAUCGUUUGUAGUGUAUUGGACUACAAAGACAGUGACGGAUACGGGGAAUUAGGGUUUGAUUCCGGAGAAGGAGCCUGAGAGACGGCUGCUACUACUAAGGUAGGCAGCAGGCGCGUAAAUUAUCCAAUGCCCAAAGGGUGAGAUAGUGACAAAAAAUAACAAAGAAGGCCAUCAAAUGGUUUUCUAUUGGAAUGAGAGAGAAUUAAAAUUCCCAUCGAGUAGCGAGUGGAGGGCAAGUCUGGUGCCAGCAGCCGCGGUAAUUCCAGCUCCACGAGCGUAUACUAAUGCUGUUGACGUUAAAAAGUUCGUAGUCGGAUUUCGUCCCGGCUUCGGUCUGGCCCGCCACAUUGGCGUGAGCCGGCCGAACUGGGAUUUUCUCCAGAUUGAGGACUCUGGGCAUUAACUUGCUCGGGUGCACCUUAUCUGGUCGCUUACUUUGCCUAAAUAGGCGCGCUCAACGCACCGCUUACGCGGGUUGAACUUCUCGCAUGGAAUAAUGGAACAAGACUUUCUCCUUGUUUUGUUGGUUUAAAGGAUGAAAGUAAUGAUUAAUGGGAGCGGUUGGGGCGAUUUGUAUUUGGACGUCAGAGGUGAAAUUCGAGGAUUGUCCAAAGACAAACUACCGCGAAGGCUUCUCGCAAGGACGCUUUCGUCGAUCAAGAACGAUAGUCGAGGGAUCGAAGAUGAUCAGAUACCGUCGUAGUCUCGACCGUAAACGAUGCCGACCAGGGAUUCGAGGAUGAUUUUCGAAUGUCUCCUUGAGAACCUUAAUGAGAAAUCAGAGUUUUUGGGUUCGUGGGGGAGUAUGGUUGCAAAGCUGAAACUUAAAGGAAUUGACGGAAGGGCACCACCAGGAGUGGAGCUUGCGGCUUAAUUUGACCCAACACGGGGAAACUCACCAGGUCCAGACAAAGUUAGGAUUGACAGAUUGAGAGCUCUUUCAAGAUUCUUUGGUUGGUGGUGCAUGGCCGUUCUUAGUUGGUGGAGUGAUUUGUCUGGUUAAUUCCGUUAGCGAACGAGACCUUCUCUUGCUAAUUAGUCUGUUCAUCCUCUGUACGGGUGAAGGGGGAAGAGCGUCGGGAAGUAAAACGCCUGGCCUCGGCCCCUGGAUCUCUGAUGCGAUGAAAGUUGGACUUCUUAGAGGGACUUUGAGUUUCCAAGCUCAAGGAAGAUGGAGGCAAUAACAGGUCUGUGAUGCCCUUCGAUGUCCUGGGCCGCAC
rnacentral:rRNA from 1 species